UGCGUAGGCGGAUUAAUAAGUCAGUGGUGAAAUCUUUCGGCUCAACCGAGAAACUGCCAUUGAUACUGUUAGUCUUGAGUUCGGUUGAGGUAGGCGGAAUGUGUAAUGUAGCGGUGAAAUGCUUAGAUAUUACACAGAACACCAAUUGCGUAGGCAGCUUACUAGACCGACACUGACGCUGAGGCACGAAAGCGUGGGUAGCGAACAGGAUUAGAUACCCUGGUAGUCC
rnacentral:rRNA from 1 species